rnacentral:rRNA from 1 species
CCAAGGAGUCUAACAUAGACGCAAGUUUAAGAGUCUUGUAUAGGCUUUUAGGCGAAAUGAAAGUAAUAGCUGCGUUGCACACUUGUGUGUAGCGUAAAUGCGAAUAUACUGCCCUAUUCUUUACGGGAUAGUGGUGGAUAUUUCAGCAUUGGCCCGUGAUAUUUGCUCUUGAGCAAUUUUGCGGAGUCUUAGCGUGUACGUUGGUACCCGAAAGAUGGUGAACUAUGCUUGGGACAGAUGAAGCCAGAGGAAACUCUGGUGGAGGUCUGUAGCGAUUCUGACGUGCAAAUCGAUCGUCAGACCCGAGUAUAGGGGCGAAAGACUAAUCGAACCAUC